CGGGUGAGUAACACGUGGAUAACCUACCUAUAAGACUGGGAUAACUUCGGGAAACCGGAGCUAAUACCGGAUAAUAUUUUGAACCGCAUGGUUCAAAAGUGAAAGACGGUCUUGCUGUCACUUAUAGAUGGAUCCGCGCUGCAUUAGCUAGUUGGUAAGGUAACGGCUUACCAAGGCAACGAUGCAUAGCCGACCUGAGAGGGUGAUCGGCAACACUGGAACUGAGACACGGUCCAG
rnacentral:rRNA from 1 species